ensembl:snRNA U6 U6 spliceosomal RNA
AUAAUAAGAGCAGCAUGUAUACUAAAAUUGGAAGGAUACAGAGAAGAUUAGCAUGGUCCCUGCACAAGAGUGACAUGCAAAUUUGUGAAGCGUUCCAUAUUUUU